AGUUCAACAACCCGGAAAUUAUUAUUACAGAGAAUGGUAUUAGUGACCGGGCUGGAAACGUAGACGACAUGAUCCGAGUUUACUAUUACAAGCACAACAUAAAUUCUAUGCUCAAAGCCAUCAAAAAUGGAGUUCGAGUCACUGGUUAUGCUGCUUGGUCGUUAAUUGAUAACUUUGAAUGGGGAAACGGAUUUACGCAAAAGUUUGGACUAUUUUCCAUAGACUUUGCAACGACAGAUUUGAACAGAACGGAGAAAGCCUCGGCACGUUACUAUGCCAAAAUUGUCAAAGACAAUGGAUUCACGAUGGAUCAACCAUGUAACAACAAUCCUAUAUAGUUUUUUCGAGACCCGGAAAGACCCGGUGGGUGUUUUAUUGGAAUAUUAUUGCAGUUUCUAUUGGACCUGUUUUAACUGUU
rnacentral:misc_RNA from 1 species